AUGGCGGCCGGGCUGGGGCCGGGGCUGCUGGCCUUGGCCUUGGCCUUGUGGCCGGCAGGGCUCUGGGCACAGCCGAGGCUGCAGGAGGCCGGCGGAGGGCAGCGAGCGCCCGGGGACUCCGUCACCCUCUCCUGCCGUGCAUACGGAUUCACUUUCGAGAAUCAUUAUGUUCGGUGGUACCGUCAGGCACUCAGAGGCAGUUUCGAAUGGGUGUCCUUUAUUAGCCAUUACUCAUCACAGAUUCAGUUUGGGUCAGCAGUGGAAGGUCGAGCCACAGCCUCCAGGGACAAUUCCCGCUCUGUGGCAUCUCUCAGCCUGCACCUCCUCCAUGCGGGGGACUGUGCCCGCUACUUCUGUGCUGUUCGCACAGAGACACAAAAUGCAGCUGUGGUUGGACACAAACCACCUGUGAGCAUCCCAGCUCAUGCCUUGAAGCUGGAAGUGGCCCAGAUGCUCACAGUUGCUUUGAAAGUUGUAUAGACAUAGCACAGAGUUUUACAGUGUUUGAUUCUAACAGGGACAUCAUGUCUUUUGCUGUCCCCAAGGAAGCUCUAAUAUUUAUGAUUAUGUCCUUUCCAUGUAUCAUGCCAAUUCACUUUUCACUGCUUCAGCUUUGAAGCAAUUUUCCUGUUUCCCUUGGCUUCCAGUAAUACGAGCACCCAGUCCAAGUGGUGUGGUGUAUGAAUAGUCCUGGUAUGGUUUUGGCACAACUCAUGUCCACUCAGUCCAGCCCAUGGGUUUUGUUGCCUGAGUGGUGAGCAGUGGAAAUGGAGAAUUCUAGAGGGUCAUUUGGGAGCUCAGUGGGAGAAUGGGGAAGGCUGUGUGUGUCUCUCCCAGAUCUGAGAAGCUACAGGGAGCAAGGGUUUUUGAGCAGAUGGGUUUGCAGCUGCUGGAUCCUGGACAUCACAAGCAGAGCCACAGGGACAUGGUGGAGUAGACUGAUUGCUUAAGCUGUUGGUGUUUGUUUAUCCUUGUCUCUCCUGGGCUGCAGGUUGCCUUUCUCGGGUGAAGACAGUGGCCUCAGGCCCUGCAGU